CCUGGGGACAUGGUGGCCUUGGUGACGUCAUGGCUUUGGUUGCCAUCAUGGCUUUGGUGACGUGGUGGCCUUGGUGACGUCAUCACCUUGGUGGCACGGUGGCCUUGCUGACAUCACACCCUUGCUGACGUCACGGCCCCGCGCGCCCGUCCCCAUGGCAACCGCCACUUCCGGCCCCGCCCCGCCGCUCCGCCAACAGCUUCCUCCCGCGCUCCUCACGUGACCGGAAGCGGAAGCGCCAUGGAGCCCCCGGGAGCGGCGGCGGGGCUCGCCCCCAAGCGCCGCGGCCCGGGCCCGGCCCCUCCGCGGAUGGCGGAGCCGCGGCCGCUCUUCGACGACACCAGCGGCGGGGCCGCCCCCCCCCCCACGGCCCGGCCCGGGCCUACGGGGCCCCCCCGGCGGCCCCCCCGGCGUCCUCCGCAUCCCGCCUGCCCCCCCCCGCCGCCGCCUUCCUGGCCGAGCCCGUGUCCAGCCUGGCCGCCGCCUACGGCAGCAGCUUGGCCAGCCAGGGCCGGGACAUCGUGGACCGGAACGACAUGGAGGUGCUUGAGCGGGUCCAGAGAAGGGCGACGAAGCUGGUGAGGGGCCUGGAGA